rnacentral:rRNA from 1 species
AAUGGGUCAGCGACUUAUAUUCUGUAGCAAGGUUAACCGAAUAGGGGAGCCGAAGGGAAACCGAGUCUUAACUGGGCGUUAAGUUGCAGGGUAUAGACCCGAAACCCGGUGAUCUAGCCAUGGGCAGGUUGAAGGUUGGGUAACACUAACUGGAGGACCGAACCGACUAAUGUUGAAAAAUUAGCGGAUGACUUGUGGCUGGGGGUGAAAGGCCAAUCAAACCGGGAGAUAGCUGGUUCUCCCCGAAAGCUAUUUAGGUAGCGCCUCGUGAAUUCAUCUCCGGGGGUAGAGCACUGUUUCGGCAAGGGGGUCAUCCCGACUUACCAACCCGAUGCAAACUGCGAAUACCGGAGAAUGUUAUCACGGGAGACACACGGCGGGUGCUAACGUCCGUCGUGAAGAGGGAAACAACCCAGACCGCCAGCUAAGGUCCCAAAGUCAUGGUUAAGUGGGAAACGAUGUGGGAAGGCCCAGACAGCCAGGAUGUUGGCUUAGAAGCAGCCAUCAUUUAAAGAAAGCGUAAUAGCUCACUGGUCGAGUCGGCCUGCGCGGAAGAUGUAACGGGGCUAAACCAUGCACCGAAGCUGCGGCAGCGACGCUUAUGCGUUGUUGGGUAGGGGAGCGUUCUGUAAGCCUGUGAAGGUGUGCUGUGAGGCAUGCUGGAGGUAUCAGAAGUGCGAAUGCUGACAUAAGUAACGAUAAAGCGGGUGAAAAGCCCGCUCGCCGGAAGACCAAGGGUUCCUGUCCAACGUUAAUCGGGGCAGGGUGAGUCGACCCCUAAGGCGAGGCCGAAAGGCGUAGUCGAUGGGAAACAGGUUAAUAUUCCUGUACUUGGUGUUACUGCGAAGGGGGGACGGAGAAGGCUAUGUUGGCCGGGCGACGGUUGUCCCGGUUUAAGCGUGUAGGCUGGUUUUCCAGGCAAAUCCGGAAAAUCAAGGCUGAGGCGUGAUGACGAGGCACUACGGUGCUGAAGCAACAAAUGCCCUGCUUCCAGGAAAAGCCUCUAAGCAUCAGGUAACAUCAAAUCGUACCCCAAACCGACACAGGUGGUCAGGUAGAGAAUACCAAGGCGCUUGAGAGAACUCGGGUGAAGGAACUAGGCAAAAUGGUGCCGUAACUUCGGGAGAAGGCACGCUGAUAUGUAGGUGAAGUCCCUCGCGGAUGGAGCUGAAAUCAGUCGAAGAUACCAGCUGGCUGCAACUGUUUAUUAAAAACACAGCACUGUGCAAACACGAAAGUGGACGUAUACGGUGUGACGCCUGCCCGGUGCCGGAAGGUUAAUUGAUGGGGUCAGCGCAAGCGAAGCUCUUGAUCGAAGCCCCGGUAAACGGCGGCCGUAACUAUAACGGUCCUAAGGUAGCGAAAUUCCUUGUCGGGUAAGUUCCGACCUGCACGAAUGGCGUAAUGAUGGCCAGGCUGUCUCCACCCGAGACUCAGUGAAAUUGAACUCGCUGUGAAGAUGCAGUGUACCCGCGGCAAGACGGAAAGACCCCGUGAACCUUUACUAUAGCUUGACACUGAACAUUGAGCCUUGAUGUGUAGGAUAGGUGGGAGGCUUAGAAGUGUGGACGCCAGUCUGCAUGGAGCCGACCUUGAAAUACCACCCUUUAAUGUUUGAUGUUCUAACGUUGACCCGUAAUCCGGGUUGCGGACAGUGUCUGGUGGGUAGUUUGACUGGGGCGGUCUCCUCCUAAAGAGUAACGGAGGAGCACGAAGGUUGGCUAAUCCUGGUCGGACAUCAGGAGGUUAGUGCAAUGGCAUAAGCCAGCUUGACUGCGAGCGUGACGGCGCGAGCAGGUGCGAAAGCAGGUCAUAGUGAUCCGGUGGUUCUGAAUGGAAGGGCCAUCGCUCAACGGAUAAAAGGUACUCCGGGGAUAACAGGCUGAUACCGCCCAAGAGUUCAUAUCGACGGCGGUGUUUGGCACCUCGAUGUCGGCUCAUCACAUCCUGGGGCUGAAGUAGGUCCCAAGGGUAUGGCUGUUCGCCAUUUAAAGUGGUACGCGAGCUGGGUUUAGAACGUCGUGAGACAGUUCGGUCCCUAUCUGCCGUGGGCGCUGGAGAACUGAGGGGGGCUGCUCCUAGUACGAGAGGACCGGAGUGGACGCAUCACUGGUGUUCGGGUUGUCAUGCCAAUGGCACUGCCCGGUAGCUAAAUGCGGAAGAGAUAAGUGCUGAAAGCAUCUAAGCACGAAACUUGCCCCGAGAUGAGUUCUCCCUGACUCCUUGAGAGUCCUGAAGGAACGUUGAAGACGACGACGUUGAUAGGCCGGGUGUGUAAGCGCAGCGAUGC